UACAUAGGUGGCAAGCGUUAUCCGGAUUUAUUGGGCGUAAAGCGUGCGUAGACAGUUUUGCAAGUCUGAGGUUAAAUUUAGGGGCUCAACCCCUAACCGCCUUGGAAACUACAUUACUAGAGUAUAGGAGAGGUUAGUGGAAUUUCAUGUGUAGCGGUGGAAUGCGUAGAUAUAUGAAGGAACACCAGUGGCGAAGGCGGCUAACUGGCCUAUUACUGACGUUGUGGCACGAAAGCGUGGGGAGCAAAUAG
rnacentral:rRNA from 1 species